AACCUGUCGAGUAGGCGGUCGCAAAAGGCGCGUGGGAGGAGGAAUGACCCGUCCUUGAUUGGUCUUUUUGGUGUGCGCGAGUUUCGCGCAGGCACGAGCCAGUGCGCUUUCUCACCAUAUAGAGACAGAAGCUGACAGGGAUGGGACGCGUUCCUAGAACACCUGAGGACAGGUCACCCGGGUACCCGACACUUCCUUGUAUUACUCACCCAGCCUAGAACGUGGCGAGGAGAUUCAUCUCUAGGACAUUCCUAAAACGAUCAUUCAAAAUCAUUCGUGAGCAGAGCCUUCGAAGGGAAGAAAAGGGAUCUGGAACCCCAUUUAUUUCCUUCAUGAAUGUCCAGAGGAGAUGCUUGGAAUGAAGACUGCCACUGGAUAUAUUGAGCUGUACACCCAAAUGCCAGGAUUCUUCGUUGGGAUUCCCACCAGUUAAAGUGCAAUAAGACAUGCCAUUGCUUACAGAAAGCCAUCUACACAGGCCUAAAUCACAGGUUUUUGGUACAUCUGAAGAACAUGCAAGAUUGUUGCAUAGAUACACCUGGCAGUGUGAUUUGCUGCCUUCCUCCCCAGCACCUAUAUCUGGCAUUUCUCCUCAUGCUAUUUCUCCCCAACUCCCUACCCCCCCGCUGUCCCUCCCCUAUUUCCCCCCAGCAGACCCCAGUGUGUGAUGCUCCCCUCGCUGUGUCCAUGUGUUCUCAUUGUUCAACACCCGUCUAUGAGUGAGAACACGUGGUGUUUGAUUUUCUGUUCUUGCAUCAGUUUGCUGAGAAUGAUGGUUUCCAGGUUCAUCCAUGUCCCUAUAAAGGACAUGAACCCAUCGUUUUUGAUUGCUGCAUAAUAUUCCAUGGUGUAUAUGUGCCACAUUUCCCUAUCCAGUCUAUCAUCGAUGGGCAUUUGGGUUGGUAUUCCAGGUCUUUGCUAUUGUAAACUGUGCUGCAAUGAACAUUCGUGUGUAUGUGUCCUUAUAGUAGAACUAUUUAUAGUCCUUUGGAUAUAUACCCAGUAAUGGGAUUGCUGGGUCAAAUGGAAUUUCUAUUUCUAAGGCCUUGAGGAAUCGCCACACUGUCUUCCACAAUGGUUGAACUAAUUUACACUCCCACCAACACUGUAAAAGUGUUCCUAUUUCUCCACAUCCUCUCCAGCAUCUGUUGUCUCCAGAUUUUUUAAUGAUCGCCAUUCUAACUGGCAUGAGAUGGUAUCUCAAUGUAGUUUUGAUUUGGUAAUGCUUAAUAUUUAGGCUGAAAUAUGAUUUAUUAUAUUUAUAAAUCUAUAUUUAUGCUGAAAAUAUAAUUAUCUUACUCGUUUAUGAAACACAUGAUAUAUUGUCAUUCUAAAUACCUGUUUCAAACAUUAUUAAAUGUGUCCAUUCUAAAAGAGAAAAAACCCAGAUUUAUUUUAAUCGGAGAGUUCUAUAUUCUAUUUUUAUGGAGAAUUUAGGAAAUGAAAGCUCAGUUUAUCUCAUCAGCCUCAUUAAUAUUUGCUUUUACCCAGAUGGAAUGCUAAUAUAGCUUAUAACAACUACUGAAUCAUAUUUAGUAUAUACAAUUUUCCAAACAAUAGCUAGAGAAAGGAUGAUUUUAUAAUUCAUAUCUCUUAAAAUAAUUUGUACUUAUUUUUAUUUUCUUUUAGCAUAUAAACUUGAUAAAAGUCAAAACUAUAAGACCAACAUAAAGAAAUAUUAUGUACUGAAUGUGUCUGCCCCUAAAAUUCAUAUAUUGAAGCCCUAAGCCCCAGUAUCCUAGAAUGUGACUGUAGCAAUAGGGCCUUUAAAGAGGUAACUGAAAUAAGGUCAUAUGGGUGAGCUCUAAUCCAGUGUGAAUAAUGUUCUUACAUUUUUUAAAAGGAGGUUAGGUGACAGACGUGUGCACAUACACCAGAGAAGAAAGACCAGGUGAAGACAUAGUGAGAAAGUGACCAUCUGUAACCCAAGGAGAGGCCACAGAAGAACCCAGCCAACCCUGUGGACACCUUGAUCUUGGGCUUCUAGCCUCCAGAACUAACUGGAAAAAACCACCAUGAACUUCAUAUGGAACCAAAAGAGAGCCCGCAUAGCCAAGUCAAUUCUAAGCAAAAAGAACACAGCGGGGGGCAUCACACUACCGGAUUUCAAACUAUACUACAAGGCUACAGUAAUCAAAACAGCAUGGUACUGGUACCAAAACAGAGAUAUAGACCAAUGGAACAAAACAGAGACAUCAGAGGCAACACAACACAUCUACAACUAUACAAUCUUUGAUAAACCUGACAAAAAACAGCAAUGGGGAAAGGAUUCCCUGUUUAACAAAUGGUGUUGGGAAAACUGUCUAGCCAUGUGCAGAAAGCAGAAACUGGACCCCUUCCUGACACCUUACACUAAAAUUAACUCCGGAUAGAUUAAAGACUUAAACAUAAGACCUGGCGCGAUAAAAACCCUAGAAGGAAAUCUAGGCAAAACUAUCCAGGACAUAGGAGUAGGCAAGGACUUCAUGAACAAAACACCAAAAGCAUUGGCAACAAAAGCCAAAAUAGACAAAUGGGACCUAAUGAAACUCCACAGCUUCUGCACGGCAAAAGAAGCAGUCACUAGAGUGAAUCGGCAACCAACAGAAUGGGAAAAAAUUUUUGCAGUUUACCCAUCUGACAAAGGGCUGAUAUCCAGAAUUGACAAAGAACUCAAACAGAUUUACAGGAAAAAAACAAGCCCAUUCAAAAGUGGGCAAAGGAUAUGAACAGACACUUUACGAAAGAAGACAUAUAUGAGGCCAACAAUCAUAUGAAAAAAUGCUCAUCGUCACUGGUCAUCAGAGAGAUGCAAAUCAAAACCACACUGAGAUACCAUCUCACGCCAGUUAGAAUGGCGAUCAUUAAAAAAUCUGGAGACAACAGAUGCUGGAGAGGAUGUGGAGAAAAAGGAACACUUUUACACUGUUGGUGGGAGUGUAAAUUAGUUCAACCAUUGUGGAAGACAGUGUGGCGAUUCCUCAAGGCCUUAGAAAUAGAAAUUCCAUUUGACCCAGCAAUCCCAUUACUGGGUAUAUAUCCAAAAGACUAUAAAUCAUUCUACUAUAAGGACACAUGUACACGAAUGUUCAUUGCAGCACUGUUUACAAUAGCAAAGACCUGGAAUCAACCCAAAUGCCCAUUGAUGAUAGACUGGAUUAGGAAAAUGUGGCACAUAUACACCAUGGAAUAUUAUGCAGCAAUCAGAAAUGAUGAGUUUGUGUCGUUUGUAGGGACAUGGAUGAAUCUGGAGAACGUCAUCCUCAGCAAACUGACACAAGAACAGAAAAUGAAACACUGCAUAUUCUCACUCAUAGGUGGGUGAUGAAAAAUGAGAACACAUGGACACAGAAAGGGGAGUACUAAACACUGGGGUCUAUUGGG